rnacentral:rRNA from 1 species
UACAGAGGUCUCAAGCGUUGCUCGGAAUCACUGGGCGUAAAGCGCACGUAGGCGGCUUUUUAAGUCAGGGGUGAAAUCCUGGAGCUCAACUCCAGAACUGCCUUUGAUACUGAGGAGCUCGAGUCCGGGAGAGGUGAGUGGAACUGCGAGUGUAGAGGUGAAAUUCGUAGAUAUUCGCAAGAACACCAGUGGCGAAGGCGGCUCACUGGCCCGGUACUGACGCUGAGGUGCGAAAGCGUGGGGAGCAAACAGG